CUUGAGGAUCUAUGACACUGUUAUUCACAUCAAUCUCUUCUCCAGAUGAUCCAUUGAUAUCAGCUGCAUCACCAUAGGCCACUGACAAUGCGAAUGGAGCAUAAGCAUCUUGUCAUUAGAAUAAAAAAAUUUGUUAAUGCACGUCACAUCAAUUUUAUUUAAGAAACUGUUUUUGCUCCCAAAUUAAAUGGCUACUCAUUGACAUAAUCUAUAUCACAGAACAAAAAAUGUCAUAAUGAGCGUCCUCUCACUCAGGCUGAGAAGAAUAGCAUGUGAAAAGAUAUUAUUCACAAAAACAGUUUGAACUUCAGUCGGAAAUUUCGUUUGAUUUACGAAUUGAUGUCUCAAUAGCUGCAUCUUAAAUUUUCUCCCUCUUAGUAAUUAAAUAUCCACUAUUGGCAUUUAAACUUCUGUAGUUGUCCAUUCCACAAACUAUGGUUGAUAUUAAAGUGCGAGUCAAGAAAACAGUCAAAGUAGUUUGCUCACUCUAAUAUGGCAAUAUGAUCAGAUUUAUAAGCAAUCAUCUCCCUUCAAAUAUGGCCAACAUCAAAUCCUUCUAGAGCCCAAGCUUCCAAUUCUACUUCUUGUUUUGCACUUCAUCUAAGAGUUUGUUGUGUAAAAAAUUGCAUAAUAUCCAAUGGAACACCCAUGGACUUUAAGAGAACAGAUAACAAAUAGUUCAGAGUUAAAUUUUCUAGAAGAAGCAUCAAGGAUCCAUUUAGCUUACAAAAAAUAUUUACUUUCCCAUUUUUAAAAUGUUUUGCGUCCAAGAAAAAAACUGGUUCAUUGAAAAUGUUUUUCCAUACAAAUUAAACAAAGUUUAUAUAGAGAAGAAAAACUGGUUCAUUGAAAAUGUUUUUCCAUACAAAUUAAACGAAGUUUAUAUAGAGAAGAAUUCUUUUCUUUCUUAUAAGGGAAAUAUUUGCCACAAUUUAUGGCACAAUUCACCCAACCACCACCUACGCAGAGUAAUGCCACCAUAACUACCAAUUAUCUUAA
rnacentral:lncRNA from 1 species